GGGUCAGUAGGUUGGUCGUGCCACUGGUAUGCACUGGCCUUACUGAUUCCUCCUUCUUGAAGAACUGUGAUGUCAUUUACUUGGUGUUGCAGGGAAACAGGACUGUUACUUUGAAAAAAUUAGAGUGUUCAAAGCAGGCGCACGCCUGUAUACAUUAGCAUGGAAUAAUAGAAUAGGACCUUGGUCCCAUUUUGUUGGUUUCUCGGACCACGGUA
rnacentral:rRNA from 1 species